UGGCAACUCUUUAAAAUAAACCACCGAGGAGAAGGACGUUGUAGAUUUAAGUUGCCUGGUGUAUCAGCAAAGGACAGAGGUAGCUCCCUCUUCGCAUUCACUCUGCUGGGUUUUUCCUCACACAAGAAUAUCCACUUUUGGUUAGAACUGGAAGAGCCACUAGGUCUUUUCUCCACUGCUUUUCUCAUUCCUGCCAAAGUGUUUAUUGAAUCCCUAACUAAAACCACUUGUGCUCUUGAACUUUCCUCUCAGAAAAAAAAAAAAAAAAAAGCGAUUAUUGUUUCUUUCUCAGAGGGACACAAAGAGGGAUUACCACAGGAAAUCCAGGGAGGCUUUAGAAGAGGAGCUCGAGUUGAGAUGGAAGCCGGAAGCCCAGUCAGCCAACUGCCUCCACAGGACCUGGCAGCCGGGCAGACGUGAGAGGCUCUGUGCCACGGGGCCCCCAUGCGAACAGAAGAAUCUGGCGCACCAUCUUCCAGGCCUUCCAUUCCCUCAGCCCGAGUUCCUGGGAAUUCUACGAAUUGUUGCCUGUGGCAGUGACACUGAUUUGUAUCUGGGUAUGAACUUAAAUGAAAACGUGAAUUGAACUCAUUACUUGAUGAAGGAAACCCUGCCAAAUUUAACAGGAUGAGAUUCCAGCAGGGUGUAAGGUUUUAUGGGGCUGUGGUGAAAUACCUCAUAGAAAGGUUUCCAGUUCAUAAAACACUUUCAAAACAUGCUCGGCCCUUUUAAGUUGAGGGGACAUUAUCAUUUCUAUCUCUAGCGUUUCUCUGCAAAUGGAACUCAAAUAUCCUUUGGGUUGACUACACAGAGAACAGAAGAAAAGAACUGGAAGAAACUUGGACCAGAGAUCCUCUCCCUGGAAAGGUUUCUUUCUGGCGGGAUUAUGUGAGAACAAAUGACAUCAGAAAAUAGCACGUCGGGAUACUUAUGCCAGCUCCAUAUGGCCCGGCUUGCUUUCACAGCAAGAAGCAGAAGCUGAAGGAUUUUAUACCAGUCAGCCUGGGCAGAAAAUUACAGAGAAGAGGAGGUGAAGUCAGAAAAAUAAGAUAUGAGAAAGAAAGGCACAAUCCAAGAAUGAUUAGCACUGGACUGGAAAGAGUUUUGAGCUGAAACCUCAGAUUUUUUACCACUCAAGUUCUAAAAAGAGAGACAGUAGUAAUUUUGAAGAAAUGGUGGUGGGAAUUGCUUCAGCAAAAGCUGAAGUCAGUGAAGAAAGUAAGAGGAUUGCAAGGUUUCCUUGCUGGUUCUGCCAAUUGAAAUGCUUUUAUCGUGCUGCUGUUUGGCUAAUUUCCAUGGAGACUCCACCGUAUUUGGCUUUGCCUUUCUCUGCCUUUCAGAGGACUUGGAUCUAGACUGACCAUAGCAUCAGUGCAGGACAGUUCUGUCUCCAGUGUCCUGACCUUUUACAAUAUCUGCAAGCAUUUUGAAAUGAAUAUGGGAGGUUUGGAGAUUGGUUCUGUGAUUAUCUGCUGUUAAAGACUAGAAAUGAAGCUUCUCUUCCAUCUUCCUUUUCUGGCUGAAACAUGAAGGCUUGAGAAUACCCACCAGCUGGUCUAAGCAGAUAAUGGUGGUCUGUGUGGGGUGUUAAAGGCCAGGCAGCAGCAGUGACCUGGAGAUGACUUCAUUCUUCUGAGGUUUAUCAAAGGCUCCUGUCAGUCAAACUCAUGCUGGGAGACUGGGGGAUGGCCAUCUGGUUCCUUGUUCUUCAGAGAGGAGAAAGAAGAGCGAGGAGGUGAAAAAUCUCACUGUCAGUUCCGAGCCAGGUAGAAGGGCAAUGCACUUGGAGCUCCUAGCUGCAAAUGAAGCCAAUGCCCCGCAAAUACUUUUUGUUUUGAAGACAUUAAUAAGGGGGACGAAGAGAGGCUUAGCAGGUCAACCAUUCAGCUGCUGCCAACCUAUGUCACACCUACUCUGUAGUGUCCUGUCCCGAAAAUGGAGCUGUGCUUGUGUCUCCCUUAGGCUCCUAUCCCUUUUUGUCUUUGAUGCCAGAAAGACAUUAGAGUGAAGGUCGUGUAAAUAUGUGGCUCAGUCUCUAAGAGGCCAAAUGGACAUCUUUAAAAACCACCUGAGAAGAGAAUAAAAAGUUUAAGUUUGGCUUUCUGAAAGGAAAAAUAUACAUAUCAGCUGGAACACAGACUUGCCUAUUAUAAGGCAUGGUUUUCAACAUCCCAAGGCACAUGCAUCGGCACCUGCAGGAAGUACCACCAAACCAACAGGAACCAUGGAGGCCAUCCCAGGAAAUUGUGAACUCUGUGUUGAUACUGUUGUGAACCUAGCAGGGCAACGAUAGUGUUUGCCCUAGAUGGCACAUUCCAGGGGGAGAGCUGUCCUGAUGGCCUUCUACCUCUUUGCUCUCAAAUGUCUUCAAUGCCCUUUCCGUUGUAACCCUGAGGGGGAACCCUGUACCAACAUUUCCCAGACUUCUGGGCCAAGUUGCUUCGAGGAACUGUCAUUCUAUUUUCAACAGCACCUGCACCAUUCUCCAUUCCCACCAGCAAUGCACAAGGGUUUUCAGUUUCUCCAUGUCCUCACCAACAUUUGUCAGUUAUUGUUGGUUUUUCAUCAUUAUUAUUUUAAUAAUAGCCAUCCUAAGGAGUAUAAAGUGGUAUGUCAUUAUGGGUUUCAUUUGCAUUACCCUAAUGAUUAGUGAUGUUGAACAUGUUUUCUUGUGCUUAUUUGGCAUUUGUAUAUCUCCUUUGGAGAAAUAUUAAUUCAAGACCUCUGUUCAUUUUUAAUUAAGUUGUUUGUUUUUAGUUACUGUUGUCAUGGAGUUAGUUGGAGAAGUUCUUUACAUUACGAUAUUAACUCCUUAUUAAAUGUAUGAUUCACAAAUAAUUUCUUCCAUUCUGAGUCUCCCUCUUACUAUGUUCAUAGUGUCCAUAAAUGCACAAUUGUACAAUGUGCAAGAAAUCAUUGCCAAGUCCAAUAUCACAAAGCUUUUUUCAUAUAUUUGAAGAAUUAUAGAGUUUAACUCUUACAUUUGGUCUUUGAUCCAUUUUAUUAUUAUUAUUUUUUUUAACAUGGUGUAAAAUUAAGGUCCAACUUCAUUCUUUUACAUGUAGACAUCCAGUUUUCCCAAGAACAUUUAACUGUCUUUUACCUUUAAAAGAGAUACUCUUGUUGAAAAUUAUUUGAUUUUAUAUAUGAGGGUUUGUUUCCAGGCUCUAUUCUAUUCUAUUGGUCUAUAUGUCUAUCUUUAUGAUAUUAACAUACUGUUUUAAUUACUAUAGCUUGAAAUUUUGAAAUCAGCAAAUACGAAAGAACUUCCUCUUCUUUUUCAAGACCAUCUUGGCUAUGAAUCUUAAGAUGGCUUUUUCUAUGUCCUUGAAAAAUAAAGUUUGGAUUUGAUAGGAAUUGCAUUGAAUCUGAAGACUACCCUGGGUAGUAUCAACAUCUUAAGCAAAUUAAGCCUUCCAACCCAUGAACAUGGGUUGUCUUUCCAUUUAUCUGUGCCUUUUAGUUUCUUUCAAUGUUACUUCGUUUUCAGUGUACAAGUCUUUUACAAUCUUUGUUAAAGUUAUUCCUGAGCAUUUUGUUCUUUUUGAUGCUAUUAUAAAUUGCAUUGUUUUCUUAAUAUCUCAUUUAAUUUUUUUUUGUACAAAAAGAUGGUUUUGUUAAAGCACAUGAACAGGACCUUUCAAAUUGUUUAUUGUUGUAGCAUAGAAAUGCCACUAAUUUGGGAAUAAUGAUUGUGUACCACAAAACUUUGUUGAAUAUAGUUAUUAAUUCUAACAGUUGUAUGAAGGGUGCAAUGUUUAGAGUUAUCUAUAUUGCCUGUGAGCAGAGAUAAUUUUGCUCCUUUCUAUCUAAUUUGAAUGCCUUUUAUUUUAUUUUAUUUUAUUUUAUUUUAUUUUAUUUUAUUUUAUUUUAUUUCUUUCUUGCCUAACUGUUCUGGCUAGGACUUCCAGUAUAGUGUUGAAUAAAAGUGAUUAAAGCAGGCAUCUUUGUCUUUUUUCUGAUCUUAUACAAGAAACUUUCAGUCUUCUGAUUGAGUACUAUAUUAGUUGUGGAUUUUUUUAUACAUCGUUUUUAGUAUGCUGAGGUAAUUUGCUUCUGUUCCUAGUUUGUUGAGUAUUUGUUAUGAAAUGAUGUUAAAUUUUGUCAAAUGGCUUUUCUUUAUCAAUGAAGAUCAUCAUGUGUUUUUUGUCAUUCACUCUGUUAAUGUGAUGUGUUAAGUUUGUAAAUUAUUUUUCAUAUGUUGAACCAUCCUUGCAUUCUGGAAAUAAAUCCCACUUGGUCAGCAUAUAAUCCUUUUAAUAUGUGGUUGAAUUUGGUUUGCUAGUAUUUGUUGAGGGUUUUUUUUAUUAAUAUUCAUAGGAGAUGUUGAUCUAUAGUUUUCUUUGCUUGUAAUAUCAUUGUUUGGCUUUGGUAUCAGGGUAAUGCUGACCUCAUAAAGUGAGUAAGGAAAUGUUUGCUCCUUUUCAGUUUCUUGGAAGGAUUGGUAUUAUUUCUUUAAAUGUCUAGAAAAAUUCAUCAGUGAAGCUAUCUUAAAUUGAGCUUUUCUAUCUUGGAAGGUUUUGAUUACUGAUUCAAUCUCUUGAAUGUAUGAUUUUUUUUUAAAUACAAUUGUUCACAGCACUCUCUUACAAUCCUUUCUUACUUCUGUACAUAGGCAAUAAUGUCCCCUUUUUAUUUCUGAUUUUGAGCUUUGUCUCUUUUUUUCUUAGUAUAGUUGAAGUUUUGUCAAUUUUGUUUAUCUUUUUGAAAAACUACUUCUUGGUGUUGUUGAUUUUCUCUAUUAUUGGUUUGUUUGUUUGUUUUUUUAAAUGCCAGGGCCAUACUCCCAGGUGUUCUCCUUUAAUUCAGGGUGAGAUAGAGUUCAGAUAUCAGUAUUUUCUAAAAUCUUAGGUGAUAUUAUUGUGCAAACAUAUGAGAAUCACUGGUAUAAAAAAAUCCUUGAUUCCAGGGGUAUUUAAUGGCAUUUUCCUAAAUCAACAUAUAUGUUUAUAACAGGGAGGUUCUUGUACAAGAUAAUGGAAAAUAAUGCUAUUAUAUAGAAUUGGUCAAUAAAAAUGGUAAGUCAGAAUCUUAA